AGAGUUUGAUCCUGGCUCAGAUUGAACGCUAGGCGGCAGCCUAACACAUGCAAGUCGAGCGGAUGACGGGAGCUUGCUCCUUGAUUCAGCGGCGGACGGGUGAGUAAUGCCUAGGAAUCUGCCUGGUAGUGGGGGACAACGUUUCGAAAGGAACGCUAAUACCGCAUACGUCCUACGGGAGAAAGCAGGGGACCUUCGGGCCUUGCGCUAUCAGAUGAGCCUAGGUCGGAUUAGCUAGUUGGUGGGGUAAUGGCUCACCAAGGCGACGAUCCGUAACUGGUCUGAGAGGAUGAUCAGUCACACUGGAACUGAGACACGGUCCAGACUCCUACGGGAGGCAGCAGUGGGGAAUAUUGGACAAUGGGCGAAAGCCUGAUCCAGCCAUGCCGCGUGUGUGAAGAAGGUCUUCGGAUUGUAAAGCACUUUAAGUUGGGAGGAAGGGCAGUAAGUUAAUACCUUGCUGUUUUGACGUUACCGACAGAAUAAGCACCGGCUAACUCUGUGCCAGCAGCCGCGGU
rnacentral:rRNA from 1 species